rnacentral:rRNA from 1 species
UGGGGAAUAUUGCACAAUGGGCGAAAGCCUGAUGCAGCAACGCCGCGUGAGGGACGACGGCCUUCGGGUUGUAAACCUCUUUUAGCAAGGAAGAAGCGAAAGUGACGGUACUUGCAGAAAAAGCGCCGGCUAACUACGUGCCAGCAGCCGCGGUAAUACGUAGGGCGCAAGCGUUAUCCGGAAUUAUUGGGCGUAAAGAGCUCGUAGGCGGUUUGUCGCGUCUGCUGUGAAAACCCGAGGCUCAACCUCGGGCCUGCAGUGGGUACGGGCAGACUAGAGUGCGGUAGGGGAGAUUGGAACUCCUGGUGUAGCGGUGGAAUGCGCAGAUAUCAGGAAGAACACCGAUGGCGAAGGCAGAUCUCUGGGCCGUAACUGACGCUGAGG